rnacentral:pre_miRNA from 10 species
CCGGGCGGGUGGCCGUUAAGACUUGCAGUGAUGUUUAACUCCUCACACGUGAACAUCACAGCAAGUCUGUGCUGCUGCCUGUCCUCUU